GCGCAAUCAUGGAAAUCGGCAAUUUUUGCCAAUUUGAGGAAAACGUGUUUAAAGUUAAACUUUCAUUUUAUCAUCAAGAAAGCCGCCUUAAAAUGGCAUUAUAGUACUAAAAGUCAAUAACUACCAUUUCAGAAUGCUCCUGCCUUGUAUGUAGUACCCUCUUUCUCUUUUGUAUUGUCCUCUUUCUUCUUUUUUUUGACCACACAGGAUCUUUCUCCUCUUCUUCACCACCAGAGUGUUUCUGUGGUCAGCUUUCUUUACCCGUCUCUUGUCAGCUUUCCUAACCCCGUAUUCAAAAAUUGUCCUGGCACCAAACCAAGUUCAUUAAAGAUUUUUGUUGCAGCCUUGGAACCAAUAUUGAAGUGGGCAACUGCAUCAUAUGCACCAAACUCCAGCACAUCCUUUUGUUUCUUUCUUCAGUUUCCAUAGUGCCGUCCCAACAUGCUUCUGGACAUGACCGACACAUUCCUUCUUUUCCACAUGUAUGUUUUCAUAAGCAUUUUCCACUUCAUUAUACGCUUUGCUGUCACCAUCUCCAAAGUACUCUGUAUAUUGCAGCUUACGUGUCUCCUCGCUCCUUCCAUAUAUCCUCUUGAUCCCUUCUGUUUCCAUAGAUGGCGCCGAUCCUUGAUAGUUCGCCUUGCAUGUAGGAGCAAAAGCGUUUCAUCGAUGCAUGUCCUUGUCCAAUACUUCUCAUGGCAUAAACAAAUCUUCU